rnacentral:rRNA from 1 species
GACGAACGCUGGCGGCGUGCCUAAUACAUGCAAGUCGAACGCAGUGGGGACGGGUGCGUACCACGUGGGUAACCUCCCAUCAGAGGGGAUAACACUUGGAAACAGGUGCUAAACCGAUACUGAUGGAUGGACCCGCUGUGCAUUAGAUAGUUGGUGAGGUAACGGCUCACCAAGGCCACGAUGCAUAGUCGACCUGAGAGCGUGAUCGGCCAAACGGAGACGGAGAAACGGCCCAGCAUCCAACGUGAGGACGCAGUAGGGAAGCAUCGGCAAUGGACUAAAGUCUGACCGAGCAACGCCGCGUUAGUUAAGAAGUUUUUCGGAUCGUAAAACUCUGUUGUUAGAGAAGCGGUAUCUAACCAGAAAGGCACGGCAAACUACGUGCCAGCAGCCGCGGGAAUUC